rnacentral:ncRNA from 1 species
AAACAGGCGAAGAGAGGAAAUAGUAAACUUUGACACACGUUCAGAGAGAAAGCUGUAUGGUGCGAGGCUUUUGUGUCCCUGAAAGUUGAACCGGCCCUGGAGCUGUGCAUGAAAAUGCAACGUAUUUCCGGCGUUAACGGAAGUUAAGUGAGCCAGAAUCGGAACGAAAUUCUGGUUAAGCAGGGUGGUACCGCCGAAGUUAAGCCAUUCGGUCCCUUUG